UACGUAGGGGCAAGCGUUGUCCGGAAUUAUUGGGCGUAAAGAGCGCGCAGGUGGUUGAUUAAGUCUGAUGUGAAAGCCGACGGCUUAACCGUGGAGGGUCAUUGGAAACUGGUCGACUUGAGUGCAGAAGAGGGAAGUGGAAUUCCAUGUGUAGCGGUGAAAUGCGUAGAGAUAUGGAGGAACACCAGUGGCGAAGGCGGCUUCCUGGUCUGUAACUGACACUGAGGCGCGAAAGCGUGGGGAGCAAACAGGAUUAGAUACCCU
rnacentral:rRNA from 1 species